UACGAAGGGGGCUAGCGUUGUUCGGAAUUACUGGGCGUAAAGCGCGCGCAGGCGGUUCUUCAAGUCAGAGGUGAAAGCCCAGAGCUCAACUCUGGAAUGGCCUUUGAGACUAGAGAACUAGGGUACGGGAGAGGUGAGUGGAAUUCCGAGUGUAGAGGUGAAAUUCGUAGAUAUUCGGAAGAACACCAGUGGCGAAGGCGGCUCUCUGGCCCGUUACCGACGCUCAGGCGCGACAGCGUGGGGAGCAAACAGG
rnacentral:rRNA from 1 species